AGUGAACGCUGGCGGUAGGCCUAACACAUGCAAGUCGAACGGCAGCACAGAGGAGCUUGCUCCUUGGGUGGCGAGUGGCGGACGGGUGAGGAAUACAUCGGAAUCUACUCUGUCGUGGGGGAUAACGUAGGGAAACUUACGCUAAUACCGCAUACGACCUACGGGUGUAAGCAGGGGACCUUCGGGCCUUGCGCGAUUGAAUGAGCCGAUGUCGGAUUAGCUAGUUGGCGGGGUAAAGGCCCACCAAGGCGACGAUCCGUAGCUGGUCUGAGAGGAUGAUCAGACACACUGGAACUGAGACACUGUCCAGACUCCUACGGGAGGCAGCAGUGGGGAAUAUUGGACAAUGGGCGCAAGCCUGAUCCAGCCAUGCCGCGUGGGUGAAGAAGGCCUUCGGGUUGUAAAGCCCUUUUGUUGGGAAAGAAAAGCAGCCAGUUAAUACCUGGUUGUUCUGACGGUACCCAAAGAAUAAGCACCGGCUAACUUCGUGCCAGCCGCCGCGGUAA
rnacentral:rRNA from 1 species